rnacentral:rRNA from 1 species
GACGAACGCUGGCGGCGUGCUUAACACAUGCAAGUCGAACGAGGUCCAUCCUCACUUCGGUGAGGUGAAGACCUAGUGGCGAACGGGUGAGGAACACGUGACGAACCUGCCCCGGACUCUGGGAUAACAGGGGGAAACCCCUGCUAAUACCGGAUGUCCCUGUCGCCUGGCAUCAGAUGACAGGGAAAGCUUUUGCGGUCCGGGAGGGCGUCGCGGCCUAUCAGCUUGUUGGUGGGGUGAUGGCCCACCAAGGCGUCGACGGGUAGCUGGUCUGAGAGGACGAUCAGCCACACUGGGACUGAGACACGGCCCAGACUCCUACGGGAGGCAGCAGUGGGGAAUCUUGCGCAAUGGGCGAAGGCCUGACGCAGCAACGCCGCGUGGGGGAUGAAGGCUCUCGGGUUGUAAACUCCUUUCAGCAGGGACGAAAUUGACGGUACCUGCAGAAGAAGCCCCGGCCAACUACGUGCCAGCAGCCGCGGUAAUACGUAGGGGGCGAGCGUUGUCCGGAUUCAUUGGGCGUAAAGAGCUCGUAGGCGGCUCCGUCAGUCGGGUGUGAAACCUCCAGGCUCAACCUGGAGCUGCCACCCGAUACUGCUAUGGCUAGAGUCCGGUAGGGGACCACGGAAUCCUUGGG